UACGGAGGGUGCAAGCGUUAUCCGGAUUCACUGGGUUUAAAGGGUGCGUAGGUGGGCAGGUAAGUCAGUGGUGAAAUCUCCGGGCUUAACCCGGAAACUGCCAUUGAUACUAUUUGUCUUGAAUACCGUGGAGGUCAGCGGAAUAUGUCAUGUAGCGGUGAAAUGCUUAGAUAUGACAUAGAACACCAAAUUGCGAAGGCAGCUGGCUACACGAAUAUUGACACUGAUGCACAAA
rnacentral:rRNA from 1 species